UAAUGGUGUUUUUAAACAAGGUAUAGUU
rnacentral:sRNA from 1 species